rnacentral:rRNA from 1 species
CUACGGGAGGCUGCAGUGAGGAAUAUUGCACAAUGGGGGGAACCCUGAUGCAGCAACGCCGCGUGGAGGAUGACGCAUUUCGGAGUGUAAACUCCUUUUAUAUGUCAAGAAAAUGACGGUAGCAUAUGAAUAAGCACCGGCUAACUCUGUGCCAGCAGCCGCGGUAAUAAGGAGGGUGCAAGCGUUACUCGGAAUCACUGGGCGUAAAGGACGCGUAGGCGGGUUGGAAAGUCAGGUGUGAAAUCCUACAGCUUAACUGUAGAACUGCACUUGAAACUUCUAAUCUAGAGUAUGGGAGGGGGAGAUGGAAUUAGUGGUGUAGGGGUAAAAUCCGUAGAUAUCACUAGGAAUACCUAAGGCGAAGGCGAUCUCCUGGAACAUUACUGACGCUAAGGCGUGAAAGCGUGGGGAGCAAACAGGAUUAGAUACCCGCGUAGUC